rnacentral:rRNA from 1 species
AGUGAACGCUGGCGGUAGGCCUAACACAUGCAAGUCGAACGGCAGCACAGUAAGAGCUUGCUCUUACGGGUGGCGAGUGGCGGACGGGUGAGGAAUACAUCGGAACCUACUUUUUCGUGGGGGAUAACGUAGGGAAACUUACGCUCAUACCGCAUACGCCCUACGGGUGAAAGCAGGGGAUCUUCGGACCUUGCGCGAUUGAAUGAGCCGAUGUCGGAUUAGCUAGUUGGCGGGGUAAAGACCCACCAAGGCGACGAUCCGUAGCUGGUCUGAGAGGAUGAUCGGCCACACUGGAACUGAGACACGAUCCAGACGCCUACGGGAGGCAGCAGUGGGGAAUAUUGGACAAUAGGCGCAAGCCUGAUCCAGCCAUACCGCGUGGGUGAAGAAGACCUUCGGGUUGUAAAGCCCUUUUGUUGGGAAAGAAAAGCAGCAGGUUAAUACCCCGCUGUUCUGACGGUACCCAAAGAAUAAGCACCGGCUAACUUCGUG